UCCUCUGUGACAUCUGCACAAUUCCAUUCCUCCCACAAACCAGCCACAAGGAUCCUUCCUGCUCUGGUUCCUGCUUAAAGCCCCUCAGGGCAGCUGCUGCCUGAAUAUUUACUCCAGCCAGGAUUGCAGCAGGCUGCUGUUAUUCCCUGGGCUGCUUUUUUGGAGUUUGUACCCAGCCCUACAUCGAUUGUGGAGAGGUGGCCCAGAUGUUGAUGGUCAUUCAGAAAUGGAUUUGAGGGAGGCAAAAUAAAUCAGCAGCACCCACUCUUUCAGCGAGUCCCAGACUCUGGGGUGCUGUUUCUGCAGCCUGCUGUGUGCUCAGACUGCUCUGCUGGAUUGCUGAGCCCUGGAUUCCUGACAGGCACACGGAAAAGGGAAAUUAACAGUGGAUAAAGUGAAUUAAAGGGAUCUUUGCCAUCCUGUCAGUGGAGAGAGGAGCAGACCUGGAGAGUUUUUUAUCUGGAAGAGAGCACGUGGUGGAAAUAAGUGAUGCUGGAGCCUUGCAGGCCCUGUGUCACAGCAAGCAAAUUGACCUUGUGCUUAAAUGGUUAUUGUGGGCAUUCCGAGGGGGAUAUUGGCUGCAAAUGUGUUACUGGCAUAAUUAAAAUGUAGUCCCUGCCUGGGUUUUUAUUCCUGGGAAUGGUGCAGA